GGGGAUUUAGCUCAGUGGUAGAGCGCUUGCCUAGCAAGCACAAGGCCCUGGGUUCGGUCCUCAGCUCCCG
rnacentral:tRNA from 1 species